AAUUACUUACCUUUACUGAGACAGAGUGGCAGAAUUUAAACCUUUGCAUCCUCUUGUGUGGCGAAAAGAGAAACACAAUUCAGCCAUAUCUAUAUCUUAGCAGCAAUCAAACAUCCAAUAGAAUGAUGAGUAACAAAAACCCGUACCAGUAGUUACAAAGUGAGCAAGCAAAAAGAAGAAAAAAGAAAAAAUAAAAGUAAGCAAGCAGUAACAAAAACCCAUACCAGUAACAAAGUAAGCAAUCAAAAUGAGAAAAAAAAGCAAGAAAAAUGGGGAAAAAG
rnacentral:lncRNA from 1 species